UACGGAGGGUGCAAGCGUUGUUCGGAUUUACUGGGCGUAAAGGGCGUGUAGGCGGAUGUGCAAGCUGGGGGUGAAAGGCCAGGGCUUAACCCGGGACGAUCUCCCAGAACUGCGCAUCUAGAGAGAGUCAGAGGCAGGUGGAAUUCCUGGUGUAGAGGUGAAAUUCGUAGAGAUCAGGAGGAACACCGGCGGCGAAGGCGACCUGCUGGGACUCAUCUGACGCUGAGGCGCGAAAGCGUGGGUAGCAAACAGG
rnacentral:rRNA from 1 species